rnacentral:rRNA from 1 species
GAUGAACGCUGGCGGCGUGCCUAAUACAUGCAAGUCGAGCGAACGGACGAGAAGCUUGCUUCUCUGAUGUUAGCGGCGGACGGGUGAGUAACACGUGGAUAACCUACCUAUAAGACUGGGAUAACUUCGGGAAACCGGAGCUAAUACCGGAUGAUAUUUUGAACCGCAUGGUUCAAAAGUGAAAGACGGUCUUGCUGUCACUUAUAGAUGGAUCCGCGCUGCAUUAGCUAGUUGGUAAGGUAACGGCUUACCAAGGCAACGAUGCAUAGCCGACCUGAGAGGGUGAUCGGCCACACUGGAACUGAGACACGGUCCAGACUCCUACGGGAGGCAGCAGUAGGGAAUCUUCCGCAAUGGGCGAAAGCCUGACGGAGCAACGCCGCGUGAGUGAUGAAGGUCUUCGGAUCGUAAAACUCUGUUAUUAGGGAAGAACAUAUGUGUAAGUAACUGUGCACAUCUUGACGGUACCUAAUCAGAAAGCCACGGCUAACUACGUGCCAGCAGCCGCGGUAAUACGUAGGUGGCAAGCGUUAUCCGGAAUUAUUGGGCGUAAAGCGCGCGUAGGCGGUUUUUUAAGUCUGAUGUGAAAGCCCACGGCUCAACCGUGGAGGGUCAUUGGAAACUGGAAAACUUGAGUGCAGAAGAGGAAAGUGGAAUUCCAUGUGUAGCGGUGAAAUGCGCAGAGAUGUGGAGGAACACCAGUGGCGAAGGCGACUUUCUGGUCUGUAACUGACGCUGAUGUGCGAAAGCGUGGGGAUCAAACAGGAUUAGAUACCCUGGUAGUCCACGCCGUAAACGAUGAGUGCUAAGUGUUAGGGGGUUUCCGCCCCUUAGUGCUGCAGCUAACGCAUUAAGCACUCCGCCUGGGGAGUACGACCGCAAGGUUGAAACUCAAAGGAAUUGACGGGGACCCGCACAAGCGGUGGAGCAUGUGGUUUAAUUCGAAGCAACGCGAAGAACCUUACCAAAUCUUGACAUCCUUUGACAACUCUAGAGAUAGAGCCUUCCCCUUCGGGGGACAAAGUGACAGGUGGUGCAUGGUUGUCGUCAGCUCGUGUCGUGAGAUGUUGGGUUAAGUCCCGCAACGAGCGCAACCCUUAAGCUUAGUUGCCAUCAUUAAGUUGGGCACUCUAAGUUGACUGCCGGUGACAAACCGGAGGAAGGUGGGGAUGACGUCAAAUCAUCAUGCCCCUUAUGAUUUGGGCUACACACGUGCUACAAUGGACAAUACAAAGGGCAGCGAAACCGCGAGGUCAAGCAAAUCCCAUAAAGUUGUUCUCAGUUCGGAUUGUAGUCUGCAACUCGACUACAUGAAGCUGGAAUCGCUAGUAAUCGUAGAUCAGCAUGCUACGGUGAAUACGUUCCCGGGUCU